GCCCCGCCUCCAGCCCGGGCCUCGCGGGCACCUGCGCCCUGCUCGGCCUGGCCCGUCCAUGCGCCAUUUGCCCUGGGGGCAGAGACGGUUACUUUGAUGGCUCAGGACAGGCAGGGAGCAACACCUUUGAUUAAGUACACACACUUGGGGCUCGAUACUGCAAUGUCAAGAUAUACGUAACACCGAGGACCCCCAGUCAUGGAUCAGGAUCCCAUUGUGCCAGGCUUUGCAUGAACAAUACAAAAAGAUGGUCCGUCUCCCAAAUGGCUUACAGUCCAAGUAAUUACUAUGUAUUUGAGUGGGACCUAAAUUGUGAAACAGAUUGGGACAUAUAGAACCCUAUCCUGCAAAAUGUUACUCCCUAAUGCUUGAAAUCAGAAGGAAUACAAACAAGGAGAAGGAUCGGGCUCUUCAAUUAGAGACUUUUCAGCACAGGGUCAUUGUCUUGCGUAUAUGUAAAGCACCAUGUGUAUUUAUGGUGCACUGAAAACAAACUGUCUCUCACAUGUAUAUUAAGGUUUGUUUUAAUUCUUUUGGUGUAAAAUAAUAUUUUUAAAAUAUCUUUUAAGUAACAUUAAGCCAAUAAAGCAUUGUGGGCUUGAAAUGAUGUUGCUAAAAAUAGAUCUGGAAGUCUUACACAUACCUAUUUAUUCCACAAUGUGCUGUUUUCUUAUCUAGGCAACACUGCAGACUGUGUUCUGAUUUUGGCUCACAAGAACCUUCCAUAUGUAUUAUGGAUAGAAAUUUAAACUUAUUUUUUAAUUUAAAACAAAAAAGUUAUGUUUAUACUACCUGGGUU